UCUAAACGUUCAACCAUUGGGAUUUAAAAGUCUGCUAAAAAAAGAGACAAUAAUGAAUAAAUAAAACAAGAAAAGGAACGGUGAGGACACGAAGGACAGUCCAGAAUCCCAAUCGUCCUCCUCUCUCUAUCUCGCCAUCGCUCUCAGCAGAAAAUUCUCAAUCGCGUCCCUCUCAAUCUCAAUCGCUCUCAACCUCACUCAAUCGCUCUCAACCUCACUCAAUCGCUCUCAACCUCACCCAAUCGUCUCUCUCGCGUCCAACCCUCUCUCUCUCAAAAUCACUCAUCAACCUCAACGAAUCUCUCACACACGAAAAAAUCACGGCUGAAAUAGAAACAAAGAGCUCACCUUCGGACCUUCGACGACGACGACAACUCAGGGUUUCAAUUGGUGUCUUUGGUAUUCCAGAAGAGUAACUCUGCAAAGCACUUUGGAUGUUCAGAAGUUGGAUUGACCUCUUUGAUGCUAGGUUCGAAAAUGGUAA